rnacentral:lncRNA from 1 species
AUAUAUAUAUAUAUAUAUAUAUAUAUAUUAAAUUAACUAUAAUAAUUAUAUAUACUAUAAUAAUUAUACCCCCAAAAUAUUAACUAAAAUAAUUAUAAUAAUUAUAUAUACUAUAAUAAUUAUACCCGCAAAAUAUUAACCAUAAUAAUUAUAUAUAUAUAUAUAUAUAUUAAGUUUUAAAUUAAAUUUUAUACCCCUAAAAACUAUAAUAAUUAUACGUACAAAAUAAAUAGAUUUAAAUCUACAUAAUAAAUAUAUAUAUAUACACACACCAUUGAACUUGAUGGAAUACACAAAACUAAUUUCAAUGAUUCAACCGUUAAACUUGUUUGUAUAUGCUUCGAGAUCGCAUUAACAAAAAAUCGUAAAAAACAAACAUUCAGAUAUCAAGUAACAGGAUAAAACUUUUCGAUGGUUUUAAAACAAAAAAGCACGAUUUAACGGCUAUUUUAACUUCGAUUUUAAUGAUUUUUUACAGCUACACUCGUUGACCCUAUAUGAAUACAAUGAAUGAAUUCGAUUUUCAAUUUAAAAUAUUUACACUAGUGGAUACCACAAAAUCUUAUGUUAUACUUAAUGAAAGUAUAAAUAAACUCCAAGUGUUAGUGAAUCUAUCGUUUUAAUGGGAUACGAAUUCUAUGAAACUAAUUUUAACGAUCCAACCGUCAAACUUGUUUGUAUAUGCUUCGAGAUCGCAUACGCCAAAAAUCACAAAAAAAAAACAUUCAGAGAUUAAGUAACGAGACAAAACUUUUCGACGGUUAUAAAACAAAAAAUCACGAUUUAACGGUUAUUUUAACUCCGAUUUUGAUAACUUUUUACAACUACACUCCUUGACCCUAUAUGAAUACAAUGAAUGAAUUCGAUUUUCAAUUUAAAAUAUUUACACUAGUGGAUACCACAAAAUCUUAUGUUAUACUUAAUGAAAGUAUAAAUAAGCUCUAAGUGUUAGUGAAUAUCGUUUUGAUGGGAUACGAAUUCUAUGAAACAAAUUUCAACGAUCCAACCGUCAAACUUGUUUGUAUAUGCUUCGAGAUCGCAUACACCAAAAAUCACAAAAAACAAACAUUCAGAUAUCAAGUAAUUAGACAAAACUUUUCGACGGUUAUAAAAUAAAAAAUCACGAUUUAACGGUUAUUUUAACUCUGAUUUUGAUGAUUUUUUUACAACUACACUCCUUGACCCUAUAUGAAUAAAAUGAAUGAAUUCGCUUUUCAAUUUAAAAUAUUUACACUAGUUGAUACCACAAAAUCUUAUGUUAUACUUAAUGAAAGUAUAAAUAAACUCUAAGUGUUAGUGAAUCUAUCGUUUUGAUGGGAUACGAAUUCUAUGAAACUAAUUUUAACGAUCCAACCGUCAAACUUAUUUGUAUAAGCUUCGAGAUCGCAUACGCCAAAAAUAAUAAAAAACAAACAUUCAGAGAUUAAGUAAUUAGACAAAACAUUUUGACGGUUAUAAAACAAAAAAUCAUGAUUUAACGGUUAUUUUAACUCCGAUUUUGAUGAUUUUUUAUAACUACACUCCUUGAUCCUAUACGAAUACAAUGAAUGAAUUUGAUCGUCAAUUUAAAAUAUUUACACAAGUGAAUACCACAAAAUCUUAUGUUAUACUUAAUGAAAGUAUAAAUAAACUCCAAGUGUUAGUGAAUCUAUCGUUUUGAUGGGAUACAAGUUCUAUGAAACUAAUUUUAACGAUCCAACCGUCAAACUUGUUUGUAUAUGCUUCGAGAUCGCAUACGCCAAAAAUCACAAAAAACAAACAUUCAGAGAUCAAUUAAUUAGACAAAACUUUUCGACGGUUAUAAACUAAAAAAUCACGAUUUAACGGUUAUUUUAACUCCGAUUUUGAUGAUUUUUACAACUACACUCCUUGACCCUAUAUGAAUACAAUGAAUGAAUUCGAUUUUCAAUUUAAAAUAUUUUCACUAGUGGAUACCACAAAAUCUUAUGUUAUACUUAAUGAAAGUAUAACUAAACUCCAAGUGUUAGUGAAUCUAUCGUUUUGAUGGGAUACAAAUUCUAUGAAGCUAAUUUUAACGAUCCAACCGUCAAACUUGUUUGUAUAUGCUUCGAGAUCGUAUACGCCAAAAAUCACAAAAAACAAACAUUCAGAGAUCAAGUAAUUAGACAAAACUUUUCGAAGGUUAUAAAACAAAAAAUCACGAUUUAACAGUUAUUUUUACUCCGAUUUUGAUGAUUUUUACAACUACACUCCUUGACCCUAUAUGAAUACAAUGAAUGAAUUUGAUCGUCAAUUUAAAAUAUUUACACAAGUGGAUACCACAAAAUCUUAUGUUAUACUUAAUGAAAGUAUAAAUAAACUCUAAGUGUUAGUGAAUCUAUCGUUUUAAUGGGAUACGAAUUCUAUGAAACUAAUUUUAACGAUCCAACCGUCAAACGUGUUUGUAUAUACUUCGAGAUCGUAUACACCAAAAAUCACAAAAAACAAACAUUCAGAGAUCAAGUAAUUAGACAAAACUUUUCGACGGUUAUAAAACAAAAAAUCAUGAUUUAACGGUUAUUUUAACUCCGAUUUUGAUGAUUUUUUACAACUACACUCCUUGACCAUAUACAAAUACAAUGAAUGAAUUUGAUCGUCAAUUUAAAAUAUUUACACAAGUGAAUACCACAAAAUCUUAUGUUAUACUUAAUGAAAGUGUAAAUAAAUUCCAAGUGUUAAUGAAUCUAUCGUUUUGAUGGGAUACGAAUUAUAUGAAACUAAUUUUAACGAUCCAACCGUCAAACUUGUUUGUAUAUGCUUCGAGAUCACAACCGUCAAACUUGUUUUUUUAUUAGGCUCUUAUUUUCGAGUGUAGAUGCAGUGCUUAAAUGACAAAUAUGUUUUAAUGUUUUGAAGUAAUAUUUAUGUGGUAAUGUGUGGUAUGUGCAAAUUUAAGAAAAUUUAUAUUUUUCUUAACGGGUCAUAACGGGUUGGGUCACUUUACCUGUUGGGUAAAGUGACCCGACCUGUUAAGGACCCGUUAAGAUAACAGGUGUGAUACGACACGACCCGUUAAGAUAACAGGUGUUACACAAAAACGAUACGAACACGACAGACAUGACUCGUUUGCCAGGCUUAGUUGAACCUAAUAUUUAAUUGACAAUAUUUGAUCGGUUGUUACUCAUGAGAAUCCAUUUGGUGCACUUAAAUAGUAACAGGUAUACAAUUAUUAAUAUCUAAGUCACUUAGUACUACGUUCUAAUGAUAUUUCUCUUCAAUUAUAAAUUAGAAGACUUAUAUUCGAUUAUUUCCAAAAACGAAUUUGAACCCCAUUAUUAUUAGCUCAUUGUGAGGCCUUGUGCAUUCUCCUACUCCUUUGGUGUAAAUAAUAUCAUUUGUUCAAAAAAAAAAAUCAUGUACUUUGAGCAUCUCUAAUGAAAAACUCACAUUUUAAACCUACAUUCUUAUAUUUUUUUUUUGCGAAGACACCUACAUUCUUAUAUUUAGGUUCAAAAAAGAAAGUGAGUUUCAUCAUUUUGAUUUCUCCUCCAAUGUAAAGACUUAUAUAUAUAGGGGUGUAUUAUCCACACAUCCCUUUUUACUUCUCUCACACCCCUUGUGAAUUUCUAUCAUUUGAUCUUCUUCAAUUCAUUCGAUCCGACGACAGAAAAUUAAAAAGGUGUGAGAGAAGCAAAAAGGGAUGUGUGGAUAUCAAACCCCAUAUAU